rnacentral:rRNA from 1 species
CGGUUCAUCCCGCCGGGACUGACUGCUAUCGGAUUGAUACUAAGCCAUGCGAGUCUUUGCAGUAAUGCAAGGCAGACGGCUCAGUAACACGUAGUCAACCUACCCUAUGGACGAGAAUAAUCUCGGGAAACUGAGCAUAAUUCUUGAUAGAUCAUAAUGCCUGGAAUGGUUUAUGGUUAAAAUGAUUCGUCGCCAUAGGAUGGGACUGCGGCCUAUCAGCUUGUUGGUGAGGUAAUGGCCCACCAAGGCGAUUACAGGUACGGGCUCUGAGAGGAGAAGCCCGGAGAUGGGUACUGAGACACGGACCCAGGCCCUAUGGGGCGCAGCAGGCGAGAAAACUUUGCAAUGUGCGAAAGCACGACAAGGUUAAUCCGAGUGAUUUCUGCUAAAGAAAUCUUUUGCCAGUCAUAAAACCACAGGUGAAUAAGGGGUGGGCAAGUUCUGGUGUCAGCCGCCGCGGUAAAACCAGCACCUCAAGUGGUCAGGAUGAUUAUUGGGCCUAAAGCAUCCGUAGCCGGCUUUGUAAGUUUUCGGUUAAAUCCAUGUGCUCAACACAUGGGCUGCCGAAAAUACUGCAUGGCUAGGGAGUGGGAGAGGUAGACGGUACUCAGUAGGAAGGGGUAAAAUCCUUUGAUCUAUUGAUGACCACCUGUGGCGAAGGCGGUCUACCAGAACACGUUCGACGGUGAGGGAUGAAAGCUGGGGGAGCAAACCGGAUUAGAUACCCGGGUAGUCCCAGCUGUAAACGAUGCAGACUCGAUGAUGCAUUGGCAUAAUAGCCAGUGCAGUGUCGCAGGGAAGCCGUUAAGUCUGCCGCCUGGGAAGUACGUACGCAAGUAUGAAACUUAAAGGAUUGGCGGGGAGCACACAAGGGGUGAAGCUGCGGU